AUUGAACGCUGGCGGCAUGCCUUACACAUGCAAGUCGAACGGUAACGGGCCUUCGGGUGCCGACGAGUGGCGAACGGGUGAGUAAUACAUUGGAACGUGCCCGAUCGUGGGGGAUAACGAGGCGAAAGCUUUGCUAAUACCGCAUACGAUCUACGGAUGAAAGCAGGGGACCGCAAGGCCUUGCGCGGACGGAGCGGCCGAUGGCAGAUUAGGUAGUUGGUGGGAUAAAAGCUUACCAAGCCGACGAUCUGUAGCUGGUCUGAGAGGAUGAUCAGCCACACUGGGACUGAGACACGGCCCAGACUCCUACGGGAGGCAGCAGUGGGGAAUUUUGGACAAUGGGCGCAAGCCUGAUCCAGCCAUGCCGCGUGCAGGAUGAAGGCCUUCGGGUUGUAAACUGCUUUUGUACGGAACGAAAAGCCUUCUUUUAAUACAGGAGGGUCAUGACGGUACCGUAAGAAUAAGCACCGGCUAACUACGUG
rnacentral:rRNA from 1 species